UAAAGCGUUCGUAGCCGGCUUGAUAAGUCUCUGGUGAAAUCCCACAGCUUAACUGUGGGAAUUGCUGGAGAUACUAUUAGGCUUGAGGCCGSGAGAGGCUGGAGGUACUCCCAGGGUAGGGGUGAAAUCCUAUAAUCCUGGGAGGACCACCUGUGGCGAAGCGUCCAGCUGGAACGGACCUGACGGUGAGUAACGAAAGCCAGGGGCCGAACCGGAUUAGAUACCCGGGUAGUCCUGGCCGUAAACGAUGUGGACUUGGUGUUGGGAUGGCUCCGAGCUGCCCNAGUGCCGAAGGAAGCUGUUAAGUCCACCGCCUGGGAAGUACGGUCGCAAGACUGAAACUUAAAGGRAAUUGGCGGGGGAGCACCACAACGCGUGGAGCCUGCGGUUUAAUUGGAUUCAACGCCGGACAUCUCACCAGGGGCGACACAGGAAUGAUAGCCAGGUUGAUGACCUUGCUUGACAAGCUGAGAGGAGGUGCAUGGCCGCCGUCAGCUCGUACCGUGAGCGUCCUGUUAAGUCAGGCAACGAGCGAGACCCACGCCCUUAGUUACCAGCGGAUCCUUCGGGAUGCCGGGCACACUAAGNNNNNNGCCAGUGAUAAACUGUAG
rnacentral:rRNA from 1 species